UGCGUAGGCGGGUCUUUAAGUCAGGGGUGAAAUCCUGGAGCUCAACUCCAGAACUGCCUUUGAUACUGAGGAUCUUGAGUACGGGAGAGGUGAGUGGAACUGCGAGUGUAGAGGUGAAAUUCGUAGAUAUUCGCAAGAACACCAGUGGCGAAGGCGGCUCACUGGCCCGUAACUGACGCUGAGGCACGAAAGCGUGGGGGAGCAAACA
rnacentral:rRNA from 1 species